UGCGUACCUUUUGUAUAAUGGGUCAGCGACUUAUAUUCAGUGGCAAGGUUAACCGUAUAGGGGAGCCGUAGCGAAAGCGAGUCUUAACUGGGCGCUCAGUCUCUGGAUAUAGACCCGAAACCGGGUGAUCUAGCCAUGGGCAGGUUGAAGGUUGAGUAACAUCAACUGGAGGACCGAACCGACUAAUGUUGAAAAAUUAGCGGAUGACUUGUGGCUAGGGGUGAAAGGCCAAUCAAACUCGGAGAUAGCUGGUUCUCCCCGAAAGCUAUUUAGGUAGCGCCUCGGACGAAUACUACUGGGGGUAGAGCACUGUUAAGGCUAGGGGGUCAUCCCGACUUACCAACCUUUGCAAACUCCGAAUACCAGUAAGUACUAUCCGGGAGACACACGGCGGGUGCUAACGUCCGUCGUGGAGAGGGAAACAACCCAGACCGCCAGCUAAGGUCCCAAAGUAUUGCUAAGUGGGAAACGAUGUGGGAAGGCUCAGACAGCUAGGAUGUUGGCUUAGAAGCAGCCAUCAUUUAAAGAAAGCGUAAUAGCUCACUAGUCGAGUCGGCCUGCGCGGAAGAUGUAACGGGGCUAAGCAAUACACCGAAGCUGCGGCAAUGUCUUUUAGACAUUGGGUAGGGGAGCGUUCUGUAAGCCGUUGAAGGUGAAUCGUAAGGUUUGCUGGAGGUAUCAGAAGUGCGAAUGCUGACAUGAGUAACGACAAAGGGGGUGAAAAACCUCCUCGCCGGAAGACCAAGGGUUCCUGUCCAACGUUAAUCGGGGCAGGGUGAGUCGACCCCUAAGGUGAG
rnacentral:rRNA from 1 species